rnacentral:tRNA from 1 species
UGUAGCCAAGUGGAUUAAGGCAGUGGAUUGUGAAUCCACCAUUCGCGGGUUCAAUUCCCGUCG